rnacentral:rRNA from 1 species
UACGAAGGGGGCUAGCGUUGUUCGGAAUUACUGGGCGUAAAGCGCACGUAGGCGGAUAUUUAAGUCAGGGGUGAAAUCCCAGAGCUCAACUCUGGAACUGCCUUUGAUACUGGGUAUCUUGAGUAUGGAAGAGGUAAGUGGAAUUGCGAGUGUAGAGGUGAAAUUCGUAGAUAUUCGCAGGAACACCAGUGGCGAAGGCGGCUUACUGGUCCAUAACUGACGCUGAGGUGCGAAGGCGUGGGGAGCAAACAGG